GUUUUGCGAUCGGCGCGGCGACACAAUGGGCGAGAGAGCGAUGAAGAGAGAGGCACACCUGAAGCCAAACAAUGAGAUGUUCUGACUUAUGGAUGGGAUGGACGGAGUGAAGGAGCACGUAUAUAUCUCAGAAAUGAAAGAAGGCGGUUUGGAUGCGGGACUGUUGGCUCAGGGUUCGUGCUCCAGGGGAUGUCACAUCAUCAAGAUACGAAAACCAGGAAGAGAACGCUGAUGCGCAUGGGCCUUUAAGUGAUGAAUGCUAUAUGUCUGAAUAAGAAGAGCCAGGAAAGUCGACGAGGAAAAGGGACCUACUCCGUGGCCAGAGCAGAUCUUCUUAUCGGUAGUGCCAGGACAGGUGCUGAAGUUGAACUCCUGUACUGGGAGACAUCUGUGGUUGAAGCAGAUCCGAUCAGUGCCGCAUGCCGUGCCAUCUUCUA